AUCAGCGAAUCAGAAAUAUCAUAAUUGGAAUAAUGGCCACAUAUACAUAAAUAUUCAUAAGACUCCCCCUUGGACAUUAUCUUCCCAUAAUCAUGUCUCGUUAAAAACCUUGCUAGAACAAUUUUGUGGGAAAAAAAACUUAGUCAAUGAAAAGAGUAAAUGAUGUAUGUAUAAUCAUGUGUUACCCUGGUUUCCUCA